rnacentral:rRNA from 1 species
AGGGUUCGGCCCUCGGCUGACGGCUCAGUAACACGUGGAUAAUCUGCCCUUAGGUGGAGGAUAAUCUCGGGAAACUGAGGAUAAUACUCCAUAGAUCUAGGAUGCUGGAAUGCAUCUAGAUUGAAAGCUCCGGCGCCUAAGGAUGAGUCUGCGGACUAUCAGGUUGUAGUCAGGGUAAAGACCUGACUAGCCUACGACGGAUACGAGUUGUGAGAGCAAUAACCCGGAGACGAUAUCUGAGACACGAUAUCGGGCCCUACGGGGCGCAGCAGGCGCGAAAACUUCACACUGUGCGAAAGCGCGAUGAGGGAAUCCCAAGUGUUCGCUCGUAAGAGUAAACUGUUUCUUUGUUUAAAACGCAGAGAGAGUAAGGGCUGGGUAAGACGGGUGCCAGCCGCCGCGGUAAUACCUGCAGCUCGAGUGGUGAUCAUUAUUAUUGGGCCUAAAACGUCCGUAGCCGGUUUAGUAAAUGCCUGGGUAAAUCGUGUAGCUUAACUAUACGACUUCCGGGUAGACUGCUAAACUUGAGACCGGGAGAGGCUAGAGGUACUCCUGGGGUAGAGGUGAAAUUCUGUAAUCCUAGGGGGACCACCAGUGGCGAAGGCGUCUAGCUAGAACGGGUCUGACGGUGAGGGACGAAGCCCUGGGGCACAAACCGGAUUAGAUACCCGGGUAGUCCAGGGUGUA